rnacentral:rRNA from 1 species
CGCGUAGGCGGAUUGGAAAGUAGGGGGUGAAAUCCCGGGGCUCAACCCCGGAACUGCCUCCUAAACUAUCAGUCUAGAGUUCGAGAGAGGUGAGUGGAAUUCCAAGUGUAGAGGUGAAAUUCGUAGAUAUUUGGAGGAACACCAGUGGCGAAGGCGGCUCACUGGCUCGAUACUGACGCUGAGGUGCGAAAGUGUGGGGAGCAAACA